AAAUCACAGAAACGUAGAGCUGGAAGAGAGCUUGAGAAGUCAUAAAGUCCAGCCCCCUGUGCUGAAGCAGGACCAAGUAAACCUAGGUUGGACAAACAUCUCUGACAGGUGUCUG